CUCCAGGACAGAGCCCAAAUUCUUCCUGAAAAAUCUGUUUCUGGAACGUAAUGGACUUCUUAACAAGUUCGUGACAUAAAAGGAAAAGGAUAACUGAGUAGCAAAAGGCACAGGAGGACAAAACUUGGCACUGGUAACAUUUUAUUUUCUUAUAAGGGCUUUAAUCAAUUCCAUGAAGCACGAGCAACGGUUACAACUGGAGGGUGUUUUUGCCCAGAACGUAAGGAGGAGGAUGCUUUCCUCUGCCAGAGAAGACGCUUAGGAGACUUUAGGAGACUGGAGCUGAGGGUGAGGCUGAGGGGGGAUCCAGGCCGAGACGCACAGAAACACCCCAGCGCCUUAGCACCUGGCGUAUUUUAAAGGAUGUUUGGCAAAAGGCAAAAGAGGGCUUUCAAUCGGAGCUGACUUCCUUUGUCCUUUGCUGCACCUGUGAGAAAGACAGGCUACUCGCCAGCUGUUUGCACAAAGCUGUUUCUACUAGAAGUUGAAAUGUGAAGACUCUUCCAUCUUGGGCUCCCUCGGGAAACCGUGGCCCUUACCCUCUGCGGACGCUGCUGUCACACUGCUGAACUGUCCUCCUGCCCUCGUUCCCACUCCAGGAGAACAGGGACCCUCCAUGGGAUUCUUGCAUCUCUCUUGCUAUUUCCACAAAUUCUGACGUGCCUUGUGGGGCCCAGGCAACCGUGCUCCCCUUUCAAAGUCACAGCUGUGGGAACACGCAGCACAGAAACCCCAAGGGUACCCCAUCGGGGGUAGGGCCCAGUUGUAGACCCAGGCGCUGCAAGGAAAUUUUUAAAGCACCACUUGUCAUGGAUUCAGCAACCAUGCCCUGACAUGUGAGAGGUGAACAGCAGAGAUAUGAAGAUGUCAAGUCCAGUGUUACAGGUUUUAUUGUGUUCCUCAAAACUGAUACUGUGAAGUCCUCACCCUUAGUACUUUAGAAUAUGAUCUUUGAAAACAGGGCCAUUGCAGAUAUACUUAGCUAAGGUGAGGUCAUACUGCAGUAGGUGGGAACCCAAUCUUAUGCAACUGCUGCCUUUGGAAAAAGCAGACAUCCAACAGGAGAACAUGAUGUCAUGAUGAAGGCCAAGGUCACGGCGAUGUUUCUACAAGCUGAGCAGCACCAAAGGCUGCCACGAAACCACUGGAAGUGAGCGAUAGCAUAGAAUAGAUUCUGCCCCACAGUCCUCAGCAGGAACCAAGCCUAGGACAGCUUGGUCUCAGCUUUCUAGCCUCCAGAACAGUGAAGUGUUGUAUUUAUGUUGUUUAAACUGCCUGCCUGUGAAACUUUGUUAUGGUAGCUAUUAUUAGGAGUCAAGUAAAACUGGUAAGUGCAUUAUCUUCUAUGACUUUAUAAUCUAGUAGAAGGGACAUAGGGAUACUUGGGGUAGCAACAGGUCCUUCACUUAUGUCAUCUAAUUUAUCCAUCAGAAUUUAGUACCUUGAACCCAGUUUGAUAGGAAGAAAUUGCAUAAAGUUCAUGGAAAAAUGAAUUGAAAGCUAACGCACACUUUCCAUGAACUUAGCGAAGACCCAGUGUCAAGAAGACACAGUCAUUCCUCCCCACUUUCUCCCAAAUUUCCCAACCACACUGAGCUUCCAGUGUUGUCUGGUUCUGCCUGCUUUGGAUCUGGGAUCUUGAACCUCUAACCACAGCAUGAUGUGAAACAGAAAUGCCACACGAAGGGAGGACUGAAGUACUCGUGGGUGUGGUGUUGAGUUGCAGUGUCAGUGGGGCUUUGUGGAGGUUCUUCGAGGUGGACAACACGUGGCCUCAACAAGCAUCAUAGGGAAGCAAAUGUCAGUUUCAACGACAUUUGAAACUGACAUUCAACGGGGAGGAAGUUAGGAGUCACACCCUUGAGAGCCGUUUGCCCACAAUGGAUUAUUUUAUUUAGAAAAGAUUGGCUUAUUUUCUUGAUUUUGUGUUAUCAUGUAUAUGCUACAUUCAAAUUCCAGUCGUAUAUUCGUUCUGGAAUCCACUGCUCUGAGAUGUGGCUUCACGUGUAGCAUUAAUUCCUCCAGCUAGAAAGAUUGACAACUGGAGUGGGCGCAGCACUUCAAGGGCAGUGAUCAACCUUGGUGUCAGGUUGGAGUCCACCACUUGCUGGUUGUUCACUGGCUGAAUUAGAAUUAUAGUUCUUUCUUAACACACAACGCAGUUGUAAAAGUAAUCAAAAAAGAGAAUUGAUGUGAAAUUGCAUUUUAAGCCACAAGACAGUUGGAAAUAUCCAUAAUCAGAAAUCUUCAAGCAACCUUUGCCUUCACAUAUCUGUCUACAAACAUUGAUUUACUAUGCUUUGUAUGUAUGUUAUAUGUUGUGGACACACAACAGAGAAUAAGACACACAAAAACAACCACCACAAACAAAUACAUAGCAAAAUGUAGUUAGUGUCAGACACAUUCUGUGGGGGAAAUGUAAGGUAGGAAAAGGUGAUUAGGCAUUCUGGCCAAGUCGGGGUGAGUCUCAAUUUAAAAUAGUAGCCAAGAAAAGCCACCCUGAGGUGACAUCAGAGCAAAACCUGGAAUUAAAGGAGUUGUGUGCACAUCUUAGGAAAGUAAGACUAAUCACAAGUUGAUUCUGUCUUCUCCUAAUGCAAACCCAGAAGAUGUAAUGGAUCAAGAUCUAAGUUCCUGUGUUAUCAUAGAUAAUAGAUGAUAGGUGAACAUUGUGUUUUCAUUAGAGUCAUCUAGUUUGUAAAUUUUUAUCCUGCAGUUCUCAAAAGUGCAGUCAGUUUUAGCAAAUGACUUUGAAUUUGUAAGCUUUUUAAACAGUGUCAAAUUCUCAUCUUUCCCAAAUAUAAAGUUUUUAUUUUAAACAUUAAUUCUUGGGAGAGUAAACAGAAACAUCAUGACAGAAAGUCACCAACAGCUUACUGGAAAAAUAUUAUUCCAUGGAGGGCAAGGUUAUUUAAAAAAAGGGGUUAGAAUUGUGAUACAAUGCAUUAGUUUAUGCAUAAAGAUAUGUGGGCAAAACAGCAGGUUAUCUAAUUCCUUAAAUAGAAAAUCCUUCCCCAGAGAGUACAUUUUUGAUAAAUAUUUUUUUCUUUAAAAAAACCAACAAGUAUUUGUUGUGUUUAUAGUAUGUGCAAAGUCCCAAAAUGAGAGCCUGUGACUCAUGGAGAAAUUUUUUUAAAGGAACCUGCCCUUGUAAAGUGGUUACGAACCAGUUGUAGGUAUUAAUUUUUAGUGGCCACAGGAUUCUUUGUCUAUCAGCCUUUUAAGGACAUAAAGUAAGUGUUUCGGGGGAUUUGCUAAGGGAAUAAAACACAAGAGAGUGGUUUGUUUCUCUGCAUACUGAUAUGUUUGCCUUGCUCAGCAAAGAGAGCAUAUUUUUCUUUUAGACCCUGGUUUCCUUUCUGGUGCAAUUGGAAUUACUUCUGUUGAAACCAUUUUCAAAACAGUUAAAUAACUUUAAAGAAAAGGAUUUAUGUAGGCCCUCUACAGACUACUGAUAUAUGAGUUGUGCCACCAGUUCAUACCCGGUUACAUUUCCUCUGAGAUUGGAGGGAGGGGAAAAAACUUACCACCCAUGUACGGUUUCCUGUAUCCGAGUCCACACAAGAAAUUAAACCAGUGGCAGAAGUUAAUUACCUGUCAGUCCAAGGGCUAAUUUCAAACAAUGGCAUCUUUUAGACACAUUAUUUUAUUUAGCACCCGUAUUCUGCCGUCUCCAAUUGCUGCAUUCAUUUCCCCUGGAUGGAAAAAAAUCUCUGGUAACCACUGUCCUCUUUCUCCAACACUUUCUCAAGGUCUAAGAAUGAACAGUUGCAGGUUCUGCUGCAAUCACAUCUAACAUGCGUAGCACUAGGCUGGGCCCUUUGCAUGAGCUCUGGAAGGGUGUGUUUCUUCUUUUGGUCUGCAGUUCAGACUGCAGCCAAAGGGGCCGAUGCGAUGAGCCCCAGUCUCCCACUGCUGACAUACUUGAAAGGGAGUACAGUACAACAUUUGCCACUGGCUGGCCACACAACGUCAAACCGCCCUUCUGCUUGGGGACAGCGUUCUUGGAAGUAAACAGGCUAGACCCUAAUUUUCCUGUUGCUAGUCUCCUGGUGACCAGGACGCAGGCAGGGCUUGGACAGUCCCACUGGAUGCUCCUGCAGAGGCUGGGUCUUUGGAGCCUGAGAGGCACAGGGGACAGUAGGGACUCUUUCUGGGCAAUGUGCAGUCAAAGCCUUGGUGCCCCGUCUUCUGAGGUCCCUGCCUUUUCCCAAGCCUGUUCCUUCUGCUCCUGUUGAUUCUGUAAGCACCAGACUUCCUUCCAGUAAACCCCACUAGAGCUGGUGUCAGCACCAGAGUUCCUUCCAGUAAGUCCCAGUGGAGCUGGUGCCUGCUACUUGGAACCAGAGCCCUCAGCAACACAGGGCGGCCCUCUGUGAAGAGAGAGGCUUGUGUUUUACAAGGUCACUGGGUUCUCACUUUCCCCAGCCCUCUUAGGGCCUGCAAAACCCAAGGCUAAGAAGGUCUCAGCUCCAGGCCAGAGUCGCGCUGUUCUGUGCUGACAUUUCAUGAGGGGGCUGUGACUCCUGCCUCUGCCACCCUGGGAAGGCUGCCAGGUGUGGGGAGAAGGGAGGCAGGGAGCAGGGGUGGCAAUUUCCCUCCUGCCUUCCAGACCCCAAAAGGUAUUUUGUUGCUCCCAAAAGGGGGAUGCACGAAGCAAUUAGCACUUGACUUUGAACCGAACAGGCCAAUAACUGUAAGAGGCACACUGACAUUGCAUACCACUGAGAAAGGUGAUUCCUGCAAAUUAAUAUAACAUCAAUUCAAAUGGGACAGAUUGUGCGUUUUAGAGGCUAUGUGUUUGGUCUGGAGACUAAGAUGCUCACACCUCGUAUCAGAGUGCCUGGAUUUGAUAUCCACCUGCAGUUUCUGUUUCCAUUAUCCUACUAAAUGCAGACCCCAGAAGGCAGUGGUGAUGGCCCAGGGAACUGGGAUCCUGUCACCCACUUGGGAGACCUGAAUUGAGCUCCUGGCUUCUGGCUUUCAGACUCAGCUCAACCCCGGCUAUUAGAGGCACCUGGGGAGUGAAGCAGCAGAUGGGAGUUCUAUUUCUCUGUCUGUCUGUCUGUCUGUCUCUCUCUCUCUCUCUCUCUAUAUAUAUAUAUACACACACACACACACACACAUAUAUAUAUGCCCCUUAAAUAAAUACUUGUUUAAACUGAGAACUUUAAAAUGACUUGUAUCUUUUGAAAAGAAAAGAAAUCAGGUUCUCAAAGAUAAAAGGGAUGGCAAGGUCAGAGGGGCAGUUCUUAAAAGUUAUCUCCUGUGCUGCUGUCCAUGAAGAUACCUGAAGAAACACAAGGGCUCUUCCAAAUGUUUGUGGAGAAGCAGAAUUAGAAGAUAAACUGAUUUUGGUGCAAAAGAUGUUGAAAUCCAUGGCUAAGUUUUCCAUGAACUCUUUGAAGACCCCUUGUAUGGGUGAGUUUCAAACAUUUUUGUAUGAAAAUAAAGUUAUCUUUAUUGAGAAAUUCCUUAUUCAUUGUUCACUCCCCAAAUGCCUACAACAGCUGGGGCUGAGCCACAUUGAAACCAGAAGCUGGGACCUCAAUGUGAGUCCCCCGUGUGGUGGCAGGAAUCCGGGUCCCAGAGCCAUCAGCACCCGCUCCCCCUCAGGGUCUGCGUUACCAGGAAGACGGAAUCAGGAACCAGGAAUGGAGCCUGGACUGGAAUCUAGGGACUCUGAUACAGGACGUGGGCAUCCAGCAGCAUCCCAGCAGCUCCUAAAUUUACUGUUAAUUCAAUUUUUCAUGAACUUUUUGGAGUUCCCUCGUAUAAAGUCAUGUCCUUUUUUUUUUUUAAUCAAUUUGCUGCUCUGCACUUAAGAGCAAGUGCCCUAGCCCCUCUUAUAAAAUUCCAUGUAUGGAAAUUUCAGGUGAUUAUUCUUAGAACAUAAUUAAAAUGUUUAAGCAGAAAAGCAAUGGCUUCAUUUCUCAAAUUUUAUUUUAGAUUAAAAAGUUCA